AAUCCACCUCCUUUGUGGCUUUCCCAGUUCCCACAAAGGAAUUUCCGAGAGAAAGGUCAAAGCAGAUGAAACGGGCCCAACAACAACUCCUUAGCAAUUUGGAGAGUGGCUAGGUUGUAAAGCUGAGAAACUUCUUUGGAAGGAGAAAUGUCCUCAAACAAGAAGUUCCACCAAACACAGCACUGAUGAGGAUAUUCAGAAGACAAAACCAACACCUUCUUGUCCCCUAGAUCUUCAGUCAACCAGUUUCUCAUUUAAUGGAUCAUUCUGUGAAAAGCUUUGUUAAUUUAUUUUGCAUGUGUUUGCAGCUGUUUGGACUUUUAAGAAUACAUGAGAAGAUGGUUUGGGUUGCUCAAAAUCGCAUUGUACGUGGCCUGUGUUAGUCAACUGAUAAAUAAUCUGGUCAGAAAAAGUCAGUGCAUACAAUGCUUAUUGUAAAAUGUAUUUGAGAUGAGAAAGAAAUCAUAAUUUCUCUGAUUUACUCUAUUUACUCUUCAAAUCCCUAA